CUAGAACAGAAGGUGUCUAGACUGGAGGACAUGGUGCAGAGUUGAGAAGUGGGUGACGUACCGAAAACAGAGGGGUUAAGCGAAUAAAUGGAGACCACAGCUCUUUCCCCACUGGGCUCCCACGAUGCCUGUAGCCAGAAUUCUAUCCUCCAGGCAUGAACCUGAAAGAGUCCUCUCUGGAGAAUUUGGUCUCCCAAAGAGGACAAACUUAAAGGUACUAAUGUGGGGGCCCUCCAACCACACAGCCCAGCCAGAAUACCUAGUGCAGUCUCUGGUCAACAAGCCCCUACGGAUGAAGACCUUCCGCUCAGCUUCUCAACCCCCAUUCUCAAACAGGAGCAGACGAUCAAGGAGUACUAGCCAUUGAGGGAAACCUCUCACAUGAAGUACAGAGAACAAAAUGAACAGAAAAAAGGAAGUGGAGGAAAGAGAGACCAUGCACGUUCAAGAAAAUGUCCAAAACCCUCUGAUUAGUAUUCUCGGGGCUGAGAUACAUAACCAUCAAACUAGAAAAAGAAGCAUUCAGGGGACAAAUCAGACCUCUUGGAAAUUAGAAAUAUGACAAUAAAAGUGAAAAUUCAAUAAAAGGGUUAGAGAAUAAAGAAGAGCAAAUCUCCCUGAAAUUAGAGCAAAAUGGACAAACGAAAGGAAAGAUAAGAAAGAUGAGGAGCCCAGAACAGGAGAUCUAAUAUAUGAAAAUAGGAUUUUCAAAGAGGAAAAACAGAGAAACCAGAGGACAGGAAGUCAUUAAAGACAUAAUUCCAAAAUAUUUCCCACAACAGAGGAGCAUGUGUUUCUGGAAUAAAAGGACCACCAAAUGCAGGCACAAGGAUUGAAAAUACACCCACCCCAAGGCAGGCCAGCAUGAAAUCUCAGAACAAAGAGGACAAAGAGAAGAUACUGCAAGCUUACAAAGAGGCUGGGAAAGGAGGUCUUAUAUGAAGGAUGAUGAGUCCGAAUGGUUUCAGACUUCUCCACAGCAACCCUGGAGGCCAGAUGGUGACGGCCUUCAAAUUUCUCAAGGAAAAUUAUUUCUAAUUUAGAAUUCUAUACCCUGCCCAAACGAUUGCUGUUAUUUCAAGUGGCAGGGUAGAUUAAGAACAUUUUCACAAAUGCAAGAUCUCAAAACUUUACAUUUCAUUCCCCUGCCUCAGGAAGUCUCCGGAACAUGUGUCAAAACAUGGAGCAAAUCAAGAAAAAGGGGACCAGAGUUCACCCAGGAGGGAGGCAAGAGAAUCGCUGGGAUGACAGUGAAGGGAGGUCCCAAGACGAGAGCUGUGCCUCAGGUCCAGGUCGCAGCACGUUGGAAGGCUUUGGGAGAGAUUGGGAGAUGAUUAGAACAUCCAAAGAUUCUGAAUGUCUCAAGAGCAGAUGUAGACAAAUGGCAGAUACAAAUACACAGAAAAUGGAGCAAAUGAAAACCAAGACAGUUAUUAGCUCCAAGGACAACAAAGAGGUGUGCAGGAAAGGAGGAGUUAUCAUAAUUUACUCUAGUCUAGCUGUGAAGGGUGUUUUACAGUCUCAACAACGCAAACAAUGAAUAUUCACCUGACCAAGAUUACAACACAACUGGCCUGGAAGAAAAGGGGAUGCAGAAGAAUGAGGUCUGGUGGGUGCACCCGGCGGAAGGACACCAAAUCACUGCCUUCUAUUGUGGGGACAAACCAGAUAACGGUUAACUCUGAAAAACAAGGACUAGUAUUAGAAGCGCCUUAAUUUAGAGACCUGGAGGUAAAUACCAAAAGAAUCAUCUGAAAGAGGUCUACACUGGGAGCCAAAGGACCUGCUGUGACCAGGGUCUGCCCGCACAUCCGGCUGCAGAGCAGUUGCCCACUCCUUGGCUCUGGAGACCAUCUCAUUAGACCAGUAGCCCCACAUCGUGGGAUCACUAUGUUUAAUGUCUGGAGACGCAUGCCUGCCCCCAAAUAUGCUUCUAUCCUUGAGAAGACAUGAAUAGAAGGCAAAAUCAUCGAGUUGAUAAAUGCAUCUAUUAAAAAUAUUGUGAUCACCCUUCUGCUUUCAUUUGUUUUAUUUGAAGACAUGGGGUGGUAACUAAUAUUUCUAUGCUUUAAAAAACUGGAGGAAAGUCCCAAUAGACAGUGUGGAUUAAUCAAACACAUUUUUCUUUAAAAAAAAAAAAACCUGGCUUCAUACUUCUUUUUGUGCACGUUCGCCCUUAAUCAGAG
ensembl:lncRNA